AUGCAUACCUGGUAGGGGCGACUCCAUGAUCAGGCAGGUGGAUCGCCUAGAGUGAGGAUCAGCCAUUGCACUCCAGCUUUUCUGAAUUCUCCACAUGUGAGAAUAUCAACUGCAUAAUUUUUUACUAGUGGGGACUGCAUUCGCGCUCUGCCUGA
rnacentral:snRNA from 1 species